UACGUAGGGUGCGAGCGUUGUCCGGAAUUACUGGGCGUAAAGAGCUCGUAGGUGGUUUGUCGCGUUGUUCGUGAAAACUCACGGCUUAACUGUGAGCGUGCGGGCGAUACGGGCAGACUGGAGUACUGCAGGGGAGACUGGAAUUCCUGGUGUAGCGGUGGAAUGCGCAGAUAUCAGGAGGAACACCGGUGGCGAAGGCGGGUCUCUGGGCCGGUACCGACGCUGAGGAGCGAAAGCGUGGGGAGCGAACAGG
rnacentral:rRNA from 1 species